UGAUCUGGCUCACUAUUGCCG
rnacentral:misc_RNA from 1 species